CAACCCUCAAGCCUGGCUUGGUGAUGGGGCACUGCCUGUAAAAGGGCAGGCCCUGAAAUUCAGUGGCGAGCUCGCCAGGACCCCGAGCGCAGUAGUUAAACCCUCGCUUUGGAAGGCCCUGGCGGUGCCCUGCCGUUAAACCCCCAACUUUUGAAA
rnacentral:misc_RNA from 2 species